AACUUUCGUUAUAUAUUUUUUCUGAAGUCUGUUUUCAUUUAAUUUUCCACUUUUAUAAUAUAACUUUUCAUUUCAUAAUGUCACUUUUCAUGACCAGCCAGAUUAAGAUCUCCUUUUUGCUGGAGUGACCACAGAGAGGGGGUAGUGGGAAGUUGUCACACAUCCAACAGUUAUGGAGCAACAAUAUUGUUAAUUUCCAGUCAUUUCUAACCACCUGACCAAGCCCAAUGUGUGAGUCCAGUAUUCACUCUCUUGUUACUCUGCUUUUGCAUAGCGCAACUUGGGGGUGCACUGUAGGAAAUGGCAGUCUAACGGCGAGCGGUACGGCUCUCUGUUUCUCCAAACUGGGGAUGCGCUGCCAUCUUCAGCAGCAGUAGCCUCUGGCUAAUUGAUUCAGAACUACUUUGGCAUCGUGCCUGUUGUAGCUAACAAGAGCUAACUGGCUAAAUACCGUAGCAGUGGUCGAGCUCCCUUAAGAGAAGCAGGUAUUAUGUGAUUGGCUGAAAGGUGAGAAGGCAGUGACU